rnacentral:ncRNA from 1 species
CAACAGGCACUGAUAAGGACACGAGAUGCUUUUUACGGUUUCCAGAGAGGGAAGGACAGCUGAGAUCUUCCUAACGCAGGGAAAGCAGCUUACCGCCUUUGAGCCGUAUCAGGGAAAACAAGUAUCUGAUACCGUCAUGCUGCGUUACAGCAUCUUUAAGCCGAUCAUCAUGUGUAAUUGAUCGGGAAUUUGGGUGGAACCACGGAUGAUCAACACAUUCGUCCCUUUU